GCACUCUCGGGACCCGGAAACCGCCGCACAGCCCGGGCCGCGGCCCCGCGAUCCCCAGCACCGGCCCGGGCUCCCCGACACCGCCGCGACCGGCCCCGGGUCAGCUCCGGCGCCGCCCCUGCCCCGCGCGACCCUCCCCAGGUCUUCCCUUGCGAUCCCUCCUCCCCCUCCACGACACGGUCCCGAGCUGAUCCCGGACUCCCCGCGCUAAUACGACCGCGCACUAAGCUCCACCGUAGCCCUGGCGCAACCCCUUCCCCCCGCCUCAGGCCCGGCGCAACCGCUUCGUCAUCUCCUCUCCGGCCCCAGCGCGGCUCCUCCCUCCCCCCGGCCCCAGCGCAGUUUUCCCCGGCACGGUCCGCCUCAGUUGUGCCACAUCACCCAGGACGCUCCCGUCCGCCGACACCCCCGAUCCAGACAGACAGGCCCCAGCCCCGGCCGCACAAAGGACGUUGCGGAGUGCUGAAAGCAAAUCCGCGAUCAGUCUGGACACCUCACACAGCCCUGGAAGGGCUCCGGCCACCCCCAGGAUGACGGGAAUGACGGCCAAGAGUCCCAGGGGUCCAGGCCACCCAAGGGAAAUUCCCCACAGCCCUGUGAACAGCACUGAGUUCCCUGGGAAUGGCAGGCACUCCAAAGUGCAAGGGAGUUGCGGACCAGCUCCCGGCCUCAGGCGCAACGUGUAACCUCCUCCCCUGGGCAUCACCUUCGGGCGAGGGCACAUCCGGAACCACAGGCGCAAGCGCAAAGAAUAAACCAGCUGUUUAUUGUU